AUCACGGUCGGGCGCCGUGCAGCAGCAGCACCAUGCGCCUGGGACGGCUCCACCAGGCGCUCAGCUCGGGCAGUGGCGCCUCCCCCACCUCAUCAGCUGUUUCCGUGUCUGCUGCAAUGCGUCUGUGAAGCUCUGACAUUGUGUUCCAGUGAGGGACAGGAUUCGGGUUCACGAGUAGAAGAGCGUGCCGAGGAAUGUCCACCAGUCAGCACAGCCAUGAACCUCAGAGCAACAUGUCCAAGACUCAAGUACAGGCAAUAUAGCCAGCCUGCCCGUGAGGCACUGAGGGAGAUGAAGAAGGUUGGAGGUCUGGAAAAUGGUGGAAUGCCUUGGACUGGAGGGCAGCCACCCUGCGUCCCCCGGUGCUGGAGGACAGGUGCCCUGGUGGUGCUGGAGGAUGGGCGUCCAGCGUCAUGGCCUGGCACACCCCUUCCUCUGUGACGUGAGGCUUCUCUUUCCUGCGAUCAUCACUGUCCUGAGGAGGACCGAGAAGGACCCUGUGACCACCCUUCCAGGUGUGCCUGCUUCUGUGUCUGGACCUCCUGUCUCUGAAUCUGGUAUCUUCAGAGCCGAGAGGCUGCAGCAGGCCCAACCUGCUUGGACCAAAGUGCAGGUAUUGUUUGUGCUAAUCAGUCAACCCUCCCCCCCCC
rnacentral:lncRNA from 1 species